rnacentral:rRNA from 1 species
CCUACGGGUGGCAGCAGUGAGGAACAUUGGUCAAUGGGCGGAAGCCUGAACCAGCUAAGUAGCGUGCAGGAUGACGGCCCUACGGGUUGUAAACUGCUUUUAUACGGGAAUAACGCGCCUUACGUGUAGGGCUUUGCAUGUACCGUAUGAAUAAGGACCGGCUAAUUCCGUGCCAGCAGCCGCGGUAAUACGGAAGGUCCGGGCGUUAUCCGGAUUUAUUGGGUUUAAAGGGAGCGUAGGCCGCAUGUCAAGCGUGCUGUGAAAUGUCCGGGCUCAACCCGGGCCUUGCAGCGCGAACUGGUGUGCUGGAGUCCGCGGAAAGCAGGCGGAAUUCGUCGUGUAGCGGUGAAAUGCUUAGAUAUGACGAAGAACCCCGAUUGCGAAGGCAGCUUGCUGCAGCGGAACUGACGCUGAUGCUCGAAAGCGCGGGUAUCGAACAGGAUUAGAUACCCUGGUAGUC